rnacentral:rRNA from 1 species
UACAGAGGGGGCAAGCGUUGUUCGGAAUUACUGGGCGUAAAGGGCGCGUAGGUGGCCUUCUAAGUCGAACGUGAAAUCCCCGGGCUCAACCCGGGAACUGCGUCCGAUACUGGAAGGCUUGAAUCCGGGAGAGGGAUGCGGAAUUCCAGGUGUAGCGGUGAAAUGCGUAGAUAUCUGGAGGAACACCGGUGGCGAAGGCGGGUCUCUGGGCCGAUACUGACGCUGAGGAGCGAAAGCGUGGGGAGCGAACAGG